rnacentral:rRNA from 1 species
CCUACGGGAGGCAGCAGUGGGGAAUAUUUCGCAAUGGGCGAAAGCCUGACGCAGCGACGCCGCGUGAGGGAUGAAGGUCUUCGGAUCGUAAACCUCUGUCAGCAGGGAAGAACGGUCACUGUGCUAAUCAGCAGUGAAUUGACGGUACCUGCAAAGGAAGCACCGGCUAACUCCGUGCCAGCAGCCGCGGUAAUACGGAGGGUGCGAGCGUUAAUCGGAAUUACUGGCCGUAAAGCGCUCGUAGUCGGUAUGUCAAGUCAAGGGGGAAAUCCCCGCGCUCAACGUGGGAACUGCCUGUGAAACUGGCAAACUGGAGUGUGUGAGAGGAUAGUGGAAUUCCAGGUGGAGGAGUGAAAUCCGUAGAUAUCUGGAGGAACAUCAGUGGCGAAGGCGACUAUCUGGCACAUAACUGACGCUGAGGAGCGAAAGCGUGGGUAGCAAACAGGAUUAGAUACCCGGGUAGUC